rnacentral:rRNA from 1 species
UACGUAGGGUGCGAGCGUUGUCCGGAAUUAUUGGGCGUAAAGAGCUUGUAGGCGGUCUGUCGCGUCUGCUGUGAAAAUCCGGGGCUCAACCCCGGACUUGCAGUGGGUACGGGCAGACUAGAGUGUGGUAGGGGAGACUGGAAUUCCUGGUGUAGCGGUGAAGUGCGCAGAUAUCAGGAGGAACACCGGUGGCGAAGGCGGCAUCCUGGACCGGCAUUGACGCUGAGGCGCGAAAGCCAGGGGAGCAAACGGG